GACGAACGCUGGCGGCGUGCCUAAUACAUGCAAGUCGAACGCUUCUUUCCUCCCCAGUGCUUGCACUCAAUUGGAAAGAGGAGUGGCGGACGGGUGAGUAACACGUGGGUAACCUACCCAUCAGAGGGGGAUAACACUUGGAAACAGGUGCUAAUACCGCAUAACAGUUUAUGCCGCAUGGCAUAAGAGUGAAAGGCGCUUUCGGGUGUCGUUGAUGGAUGGACCCGCGGUGCAUUAGCUAGUUGGUGAGGUAACGGCUCACCAAGGCCACGAUGCAUAGCCGACCUGAGAGGGUGAUCGGCCACACUGGGACUGAGACACGGCCCAGACUCCUACGGGAGGCAGCAGUAGGGAAUCUUCGGCAAUGGACGAAAGUCUGACCGAGCAACGCCGCGUGAGUGAAGAAGGUUUUCGGAUCGUAAAACUCUGUUGUUAGAGAAGAACAAGGACGUUAGUAACUGAACGUCCCCUGACGGUAUCUAACCAGAAAGCCACGGCUAACUACGUG
rnacentral:rRNA from 1 species